UGAUCUGAACACGAAUCUCUGAUUGAUGG
rnacentral:piRNA from 1 species